rnacentral:lncRNA from 1 species
GGAAAUAUGAUGGCAGCGGAUUGCGCCGGCAUUGGUAUGGGACAAUGUCAAAUUACCUAAGGCAUGGCUCGAGCAUCCUUAGAGUGGAAUGCAGCUGGUCCGAAUUGCACAUGAGAAGCACAUGGAAACGGUUGGCAGGAGUUCCUUGUUUGUAGGCCAUGAUCUCCCAUGUUCCCCAUUAUCCCCAUUAUCUUGUAAUGCUUGUAUAAUGCCCCAUUUCGUGAGUAGUGGAUCCUAAGUGGCUGGGGUUGUCA